rnacentral:rRNA from 1 species
AGGAUGAACGCUGGCGGCAUGCCUAAUACAUGCAAGUCGAACGGAAUCUUAUAUGUUCCUCGUUUCGGAUGUAAAUCCGCGUUGAGGAACAGUAAGAUUUAGUGGCGGACGGGUGAGUAACACGUUGGUACCUACCCUCUAGUGGGGAAUAACUUCGAGAAAUCGAGGCUAAUACCGCAUAAUAUCUACGGAUUAAAGCAUUUAUGCGCUAGAGGAGGGGCCUGCGUCUGAUUAGCUUGUUGGUGAGGUAAAAGCUCACCAAGGCGACGAUCAGUAGCUGGAUCGAGAGGUUGACCAGCCACACUGGGACUGAGAUACGGCCCAGACUCCUACGGGAGGCAGCAGUAAGGAAUCUUCCACAAUGGGCGAAAGCCUGAUGGAGCAAUGCCGCGUGCAGGAUGACGGUCCUUCGGGUUGUAAACUGCUUUUUAUAUGGGAAGAUUAUGACGGUACCAUAUGAAUAAGGACCGGACUAACUACGUGCCAGCAGCCGUA